rnacentral:tRNA from 2 species
GCCCGGCUAGCUCAAUCGGUAGAGCGUGAGACUCUUAAUCUCAAGGUUGUGGGUUCGAUCCCCACGUCGGGCU